AAAAAAAAAAAAAAGGCUAGAGUGGGAGGUCCAGGUUUUUUGUAGGCUACAUGAAUGACACAGCUGGUCAAACCAAUCCCCUGGGCUUAUGCAAAUCAGACACUGCCUCCUCCCAAUAUAACUGACUACUUUCCACGGCACACAGGGUGUUUCUCCACUUGGAGCCCCACCCCCCAACUCCCCGUACAGGGGGAGACUUUCUUCUUGUUUCUUGACCAUUAAACUUUCUGCUUCUUAAAACCACUCCACCUGUGUCCAUGUUGUUUAUCUAACUGGCACAAGACAAAGGACCCUGGUGUUUCUCCAUUCAUUGGAGCCAUAUCAUUUUGGUGCAUUGGCCAGGAAUCCAAAGUACAACAUUCACUUGGAGUGGUGAGUAUGGGGUGAACAUCAACUUCAAAUCUGUCUUUUAAUUUCAAGGCUCUCUUCCAGCUAUCCUGUCACCAAAUUUCUCUCUCUCUCUCUCUUUCCCCCUCCCCUGCUGCGCACCCCCCUUGGCUUUUGUCUGGCCAGCGCAUGGUAUUUCCAACCCAACAGUACCACCUAGUGGAAAUAGAAAUCCUCUUCAUAAGACACAUGGCUGGUUCUCUGCAGUAAAUUGUAGUUUCACAACUUUUCCUUGUUGCGUCUUUUUACUGGAAACUAGGCAUUAUGCUACUUCUGUGAACGGGAGAGCUCUGCCUUCAACAGUUAGGAGUUAAAUGUUUUCCACAGCCAAAUUUUAGUCUUAAUAUUGUCCCAUCAGCAGGAAAACAGCCAUUUGAUUCCUGUGUUCUUUUAAGGCACCUAUUUCGUCUCCAAUUAAGACAGUACUUAAUUAGUAAGAGGACUUUAAGUCUGGAAGUUAACCGAAACCAUUUUUCUAAGGGUAGAUGCUUUAGCAUGGGCCAUAAUAGCAGGCAAUCUAGCAAAUUUCCUCCAUUGAGGGAGCCUUGCCUUUUAUAUAGUCUUUCCCAAGAUCCAUGUUUUUUCUUUGCGGGGGGAGGCACACAGGUCACAUAAGUCUAGGAGGUCAAAGGGAAAUAAUAGGCAGAGGACUAGGACUACUUGGGUAAGCAUGACUAGGCCUCAAAAGUCUAGUCCCUCUGGUGUCAUGGCUUGGAGGGUCAUACCUACAGCCAUGGGUAGCACAUUUAACAGGGUGCUAGGACCCAGGAAUCAGAGAGGGAAAAUAGUUGGGGGGAUGCUCCCACUGUUUUCUUCUCCACCUUGGGUCACAUAUGGAAGGGAAGGAGACUAAAGGGAUGCCUUCUCUCACUUCUCUUUCUGGAUGGGUAACAGAUUGUCUUCAGCAGACACUCCCCUGGAAUGUAUUUUAAAGCACUGGCACUCUUUCGACCCUGAGUCUUUGGAGAAAAAGCACCUCAUAUUCUAUUGCAGAAGGGCAUGGCCUUCUUGAUUUUAAUAUUAUCCACCAGUUAGAUCUUUUCUGCAGACGAUAGGGCAAAUGGACUGAGGUCCCCUAUGUACAGACUUUCUUUGCCCUGUGAGAUAACCCAGACCUUUACAAGUUCUGUACAAUCAACCCAGUUCUUUUAGUAGCCAUGGCAGGCAAGUCCGUAGAGCUGAAGUAGAUUCCAGAGGUGCAAUCUGAGACUGCUAUUGAAUGUUCCAGUACCCCUCCAAUCAUACCAUCAGCUUCUCCAGUUCCACCAUCUCCAGUAUUACCCACUCUCCCCUCUUCACUCUGACCUCUGCAGGAAAUGCCUGAUGGGAAUGGUGCCAUGAGGGUUCAAAUUCCCUUCUCGUUACAGGACCUUAAGCAAAUAAAGGCAGACUUAGGCCAAUUUUCUGAAGACCCCAAUAAGUAUAUAGAAACUUUCCACAAUUUAACUCAGGUCUAUGGUGUUUUUCCUUCUUUCACAGUUUAAAAUGGUUCUUUUAUAAUGUUCUUUCAACCUGGGAAAAGUUAAUUUUCCAAGCCUUAAAAUGCAUGGCUUAGAGUUGAGCUAGGAGGAAGGGAAACCAGAAGCCUGAUAUGCUGGCAAAAGGGUAAAAUUUUUUUACCAGUUGGGCUUUUGGCUUCUCUCUUACUGUGCACACUGGUAAAAGGGAUAAUAAGGAUUAUUGUUUGUAUUCUCUGUAAAGUUUUAAUUAAUGAAAAAGGAUACAUGAGGUUGGUCUUAAGCUGUAGCUAAUCUGAUGUGCUUUGUGUGUCUUUCUGUAUGGUUCUGUCAAAAGACAGGGUACCUUAAAUUAGAAUGCAGGCCCACGACCCCAUAAGCCUGCUGUUCAAGCCAGUCAAACAAAAUGGUCAGUAACAAACAUGGCUACAAGCCUCUAUCUUGUUUCAUGUCCUUGGGAGCAUGACCUGUAACUAUAUGGCAAUACUUUGUUUUAGUUGCCAUGAUUUUACAAUGGUGGCUGUCUUCUUGUGCUAAGUCAGUUCCUGGAUGAAGGCCACAAAAUCAGAUAAGCCAAUUUAUUGAUCUGUUUGGUGCCAGCUAAUCCAUCAAGGGCAGGGUUUACAAAAUAUCUUAAACACUAAUCUUGAGAGCAGUUAAGGGAGGGUCAGAAUCUUGUAGCCUCCAGCUGCGUGACUCUAGGUCAUGGUCUCUAAUCUUGUGGCUAGUUUUUCAGUCUAGUCCCCAGGCAAGAGGGAAGUAUAUCUUAAGAAAGGACUGUUACCAUCUUUGUUUUAGACUAUAAACUGUAAACCAGGCACCUCCCAAAGUUGGUUUGGCCUACAUCCAGGGAUAGGCAAGGACAGCUUGGGGGCCGGAAACAAGAUGGAGUUGGUUGAGUUGGAAGUCUUUCACUAUCUCAGUCACAAUUUUGCAAUGAUGGUUUCAAAAGCUGCCUAUCACCCCCUUUGAAAAUAUAUUGUACACUCAUGAUUAAGUAAUAAUUAAGGCUUGUUGAUUUCACCUGUGAGGUUACUUUUCAUGAAGUUCACAAGCUGAAAAUUAUUAACUGCUUGGCAUGGCUAAAGUCGAAUAAUAAGGGAUUUAAAGAGCACUCAGCUUAAUUAAAAGUGAAUAUUCAAGUUAUAGGUAUAUUUAAAAGGCCUUUACAUUUUUCUCUUCUUGGAUCUUGUUUUUCUGGAAAAAGGUUUUUUUUGGUCUCAGUUGACUAAAUUAUUUUUCUCCAUUUUUUGUUUUGUCACUCUUAAUGCAUGCAUAAGAGGGCCUAAGAUAACUUCUGGUAGCAGGGGACUCCAUGGGAAAACAGAGGAGCUGCCACAGACCCUGUUUUGUGAAAAAACUUCUGUUUUUCUCAUGAAAGCCCAGGAAUAAAAGCAGAUAGUUCCCUCUCGAAAUCAAAGGCUCUGUUCUUUAAUUUUAGGGAUCUGUCUUUGCCUUCAGUGGUGCUUGCUUAUUAGGCCCUAAAAUUGCAUGCUAUCUUGCCCCUGCUCCUCCCAGAGCUCCAUCCUGAAGCCAGCAAUCCAAUUAAAAAAGUGACAGAUGAAAAAUCUUACAAAUGCUGAAUCUUCAGUUUGUUUGUGUCACUAUAUAUGUGCCAUAUAUGUGUUAUGUGUAGUGUGUAUAGAAAGAGCUCAAAUUAAUUGGCUUAAAAAAAUAAGCACUUAAAUCAAAUAUUUUUUAGUUCACAUGACUUUAAUUUUUAAGCUGGUACGUAAUUAAAAUUGCUUACUAACCGAGUUUUUCACCAAAAGUAAAAGUUGCUAAGAGUUAACAGUGCAGUAUGUAUUUGAGAUCAUUAAACAGUUUUACAUGCAAGGCAUAUAAAAACCAGUAAAACACGUUUUUUAGUAAAAGAUUAUAAGAAACAUGGAAAUGUAAAUUUUGCCUAGGGAUAAGGGAUUAUCUUAAACUUAAUAAGAUAAAGCUGAACAUUUAAGUAAGUUGUGGAAACAUUGUAAAAAUUAAUCUUACAAAAAUAUAUAAACAUUAACUGAAUUCAAAGGGGUAUAUAUGGUCUUUUCAUAAAUUGAACAUUAAAAUAAAAGCACAAAAAUGGUUUUCCUAUGAUGGUAAUCUGCCUUUAGCCAAAGGGGUUAUAAAGGGCUUGUAAAGAUUUUGCCUUACAGUCAAAUUGGUUAAGAUUAGAUGGAAUUGUCUAUAAGGUUUUAUUUAAACAAAUUGGGGUUAACAUUAAUAAACUAAUGCAAGGGUAAAAUUUGGCUUUGAACAGGAUUUUCAUGUAAUAGUAAAGGCUAAUGAAAAGUUUUUUUAUUUUUUUGAAUCAUUAUUUUGGCAAAAUAAAUAAUUUGUGCCAAUUUGGAAUUCUAUUUCAUAACAUCAAGUGUUUUAAACCUCUAACAUUUAACGGCCAUCUCAAAAUCAAACUCCAAGUUUCAAAAUUAUCUUUCCUGAUGUCUGAAUUUCUGGAUGGUUCAGAGGGCCCUUGAAACAUUCAGAAAAGAGAUGAAACAAAUUAUUUAGCAUUUUUUAAUCACAUGAGAUUGCCAAAAUAAUGUCCAAUCUUCUUUCAGUUAUAUUUUGGUGAAUACUACUAAUGUAUUUUAUAAAAUUGUAUGGGGUUUCUAAAAUUCUAAUGUCUGAAUAUAUGCUAUCAGUCAUAAUUGAGGGUAAAGUUACUGUAAGCUAUGGAGAUAACUAAACUUCUUUGUCAGUCAUGUUUUUAAAUGUAACUACCCUGGACAUUUUGUCAUUCACAGACAAUUUUUGUCUUGGUUUGUUCCUUCUCAAAAGAUGGUUUAUAAUCAAGCUAUAUUAAGGACUUUAACAGGUGUUCUCAAAUGCAGGUGUCAAAUAGCUUUGAAGAUUAUGACAUUGGAAUAGAGAAAAACUGUACAGGACUCACAAAGAACUGGCAUGUUCAUGAAUAUCACGCAAAACAAGAAAGUUAAAGCAACUUUCUGGACUUUUGCUUAAAACAUUGCUGAUCCUUGUUUUGUUUUUCAAAGUUGAGGACACUUAUUUUGAACUAUUUAUGGCCUUUAAUAAUUAGGUAAGGUAUACUCCUGCAAACAAAAUUUGGAGCAUGUUUUUUUUCUCUCUGCCUGGUUCCUCUAGAAUUUGGAAACUAUCUGUAAGUACUCUUAACCUAUGACAAUAUAGUUGUUUGCAUCAGUGCAAUAAGAAUCCAUUUUUCUUUUUCAAGAGGACACAGUUGGAAAAACUGGUUAUUUUACCAAGGCUUUGACUGGAAGGGUGUGUUUCCCUUUAAGGAAUUAAAACCUGACAGGCAGAGGCAGUAAAAGCCCCUUGGGGCUUGAGAACUGGCCUCAUAUCUUAUCUACACAGUCCCUGCAAAGGGUUCCUAACCUGUGGUCAGUAAAGAAUGUCACUUUCUAACAGGUCCAGGAGCUCCAAGUUUAUCUUAGGACCUCAAGAGAAAAGGAUCACCCAACUUACAGGUAUUUGAGGAUAUAAACCCAUGGCUGGGCUCAGCUUUAACAGGUCUUAUCUGAGAUUACUUAUGGAACAGAGUUCCAUCAAAGGCAAUCAAAAAGGCCUAUGUAGAAAUAAUUAUUCUUGUUGUGCUUUAUGAAAAUAAUCAGGCCAAGUAUAAGACUUAAGUUUAUUCUACAAAUAACAUGGUCCUAUCAUAAUUUGUUUUUACCAAAAAUGAGGACUAGAGAGAGAAAUUAUGCUUGAAAGCUUAUCAUGCAUUAAAUCCUAGUCUUAUUGAUUGUUCUUAAGCUUUUUGUCUACAUUUUAGACUAACCCUGCUUAUUCUUGUGAAUCAAGUGGUGAUCUUCUGCAGUUUGGAAGAAACAAAAAGGAAUGGUAAUGUAAAAAUCUGGAUCAGUAUGCUAGUUCUGGGCAAUUAUCCUAUAAAUUCCGCCAGGCAAUGAAAGUGAGUAGGGUGCCCGUAACCCAGAGGUUUCUUUGUUGAGGGAAAUAGAAUGAAGAAACUUCAUGGAUCCCCCAAAAGGAAAUUCUAUAUCUUAGCAAGUAUAAUUUUAGAUGGAAAUUAUCCACCACACCACACUUGCAGGAAUUGCUAUAGUCUCUGUACUAUUUGUAGUAGAGCUAUACAUGGUGGCACAUUCUAACUGAAAUAUUGGACAGAGAGUUUCCAUCAUUGUAAUAUUUUGCUUAAUGAUUAUCCUUAGAGCAGGGUUAACAGCCACCAACAAAAAAGAAGCAUGAGAGUUUUACUAUCACUGAGUUUGCUAGACCUUCUUAUUGAGUUUGGUAAUAUGUCACACCCUGGCUAUGAAAAGAAGGUUCAGGAAAAAUCUAGCUGAGGCUAACACUAAAGUUACUCUAGCCACCCAAAUCCAAGGUCACUAAUCCUAAAAGGAAUGUUACUUUAUAUUGUUUCUAGUAAUGUACAGCGAUAUCUAGUGGAAGGCAACAGGUAUUACAAUCCAUUAGUGUAACUAACAGGUAUCAAACUCUUCUGUCAGUUAUGGUCUGUAGGACCCCCAUUAACAGUGGUAGUCUUAAUGCUCAUAUUGUGACCCUAUAUUUUAAACUUUCUUGUAAAAUUUAUCUCUUUUCACCUAGAAGCAAUCAAAUCCCAAACAGUGCUGUGAGCAGAGCCACACGUGGACACGCCAUUCUUCCGAGAACCCUUACAUCAACCUCAGGAGACGGUCCAACAGCUGUCCCUCCAGAUGACACCCCUUUUCAGCAGGAAGUAGUCAGAAAUAAUCAUCAUCCAACACCCCCUAACAGCAGUUAGGUUUACUUCUCUUGAGGGAGGAAUAAUACAGGAGUUAUUAAGAAAUUAUGUUAGGGAGAUAGGGUAAGGAGUCCUCGGAAAGGCUUUUCCUUUGAAAAGAAUCAGCUCCUGAAACAUUUCUUUUCUAAUAGAAAGGUGUGUUGAAAAGCCAGGCUGGCAAGCUUUGAUAUGUGAAUGCCAGCAAUUAGAAACUGGGUCCAUCCAACAUAGUGAUUCUCACCCUCUUCUCUUUGUCACCUUAUGUGCCAGGUGUCAUGGCCACCUCCAGAUGACUCCACACGCGCAGGAUGUCAUGGUGACCUGCAUUUCUGUAUUAAAACGCUAGGGUGGGAGGGCCAGGUUUUUCAUGGGCUGUGUGAAUGACACACCUGGUCAAACCAAUCCCCUAGGCCCUAUGCAAAUCAGACACCACCUCCAGCCUCCCAGUAUAACUGGCUACUUUUCUGCUGCAUACGGGGUUUUUCUCUGUUCGGAGCCCGCCUCCCUCUCUAUAUGGGGAUACUUUCUUCUUUCUUGCCUAUUAAACUUUCCCCUCCUUUAAACCACUCCACAUGUAUCCGUGUCAUUUAUCUAACUGGUGCAAGACAAAGGACCCCGCUGUUUCUCUAGUUAUCAAAGACAUAUCAGGAAGAUUCUGAGGAUGUGUUUUCAUAGGACACCUGUCCAUAUUUGGAAAGAAGUUUAUGAAUUUCAAGUUUGGAAUGAUCUGGUAACCUGUCUCUACCGGCCUCAUCCCAGCAGUCUUCACUUUCAACACUCACAGAGAGGCUGUCCAGGCCACUACUAGUGUAAACUGUUCUGCCCAAGUUCCUACCAGUUUUACCCUUGAUGGCACCUCAGUUAAGUGUGUGCUGCUUUCUGUCCCAGUGUGCCUGCAGGAGCCUACUCAACACUCACACACAGAGACUAAAACAACUUUACCAGAUUGAAACACUCAAGACAAAGGAGCCCAGGAAGCAAAAUUCAUCAGAAAACUAGAGGAAGUUUUCAUGGAGUUGCUAUGAGUUAGAAACUUUUAAUGAAUCCGGUUGUAUUGUUUACCAAGUUAAGAUCCUCUCAGAUGUCAGGAGAUAGAUGUGUAGAUGUCAGCUUAUAAAAUACAACUUUGGUGUGAUAGCAGAAAUAUAAGAGGCUUGAAUCCCUCCAUGCCAACAGAUAAUGAAGGAGGCCUGAGAUAAGUUGGAAGAAAAACUGGCUACAAAGAGGGAUAGCAUUUUUUUUUGUUGUUAAAUCAAAUAUUUAUGAGACUGGGCUUUGAUUUCCCCAUGGUUUAACAAUUCAAGGGAAAGAUAAUUUUUGAGAGAUACUUAAGGUAUUGGAGUAAUUCAGAUAACUGUACCUUGUAUGAAAAUAAUUAAUCACUAGAGUUUGGAAUGCAUACAAAUUGUGGUGGGAAUAGAAUAAAUUUUGCAAUGUUAAUACAUGAUGAUGUAACAUGUUCAAAUGAUUAGAAUAUGUCCUGGUGUCAUAGACAUGAUUCUAUCGAUUGUCAAUACAGAACAUUUGGUUUUGA